AGAGAGAGCUUGCUUUCUCGAGCGAGUGGCGAACGGGUGAGUAACGCGUGAGGAACCUGCCUCAAAGAGGGGGACAACAGUUGGAAACGACUGCUAAUACCGCAUAAGCCCACGGGUCGGCAUCGAUCAGAGGGAAAAGGAGCAAUCCGCUAUGAGAUGGGCCCGCGGCGCAUUAGCUAGUUGGUGAGGUAACGGCCCACCAAGGCAACGAUCGGUAGCCGGACUGAGAGGUUGAACGGCCACAUUGGGACUGAGACACGGUCCAAACUCC
rnacentral:rRNA from 1 species